UACAGCGAAACUGCGAAUGGCUCAUUAAAUCAGUUAUCGUUUAUUUGAUAGUACCUUACUACUUGGAUAACCGUGGUAAUUCUAGAGCUAAUACAUGCUAAAAACCCCGACUCACGAAGGGGUGUAUUUAUUAGAUUAAAAACCAAUGCCCUUCUGGGCUCUUUGGUGAUUCAUAAUAACUUCUCGAAUCGCAUGGCCUUGCGCCGGCGAUGGUUCAUUCAAAUUUCUGCCCUAUCAACUUUCGAUGGCAGGGUCUUGGCCUGCCAUGGUUACAACGGGUAACGGAGGGUUAGGGCUCGACCCCGGAGAAGGAGCCUGAGAAACGGCUACUACAUCCAAGGAAGGCAGCAGGCGCGCAAAUUACCCAAUCCCGACUCGGGGAGGUAGUGACAAUAAAUACUGAUACAGGGCUCUUUUGGGUCUUGUAAUUGGAAUGAGUACAAUUUAAAUCUCUUAACGAGGAACAAUUGGAGGGCAAGUCUGGUGCCAGCAGCCGCGGUAAUUCCAGCUCCAAUAGCGUAUAUUAAAGUUGUUGCAGUUAAAAAGCUCGUAGUUGAACCUUGGGCCUGGCUGGCCGGUCCGCCUCACCGCGUGCACUGGUUCGGCCGGGCCUUUCCCUCUGGGGAACUGCAUGCUCUUCACUGAGCGUGUUAGGGAACCAGGACUUUUACUGUGAAAAAAUUAGAGUGUUCAAAGCAGGCCUAUGCUCGAAUACAUUAGCAUGGAAUAAUGAAAUAGGACGUGUGGUUCUAUUUUGUUGGUUUCUAGGACCGCCGUAAUGAUUAAUAGGGACAGUCGGGGGCAUCAGUAUUCAAUUGUCAGAGGUGAAAUUC
rnacentral:rRNA from 1 species